rnacentral:lncRNA from 1 species
CCCCCCCCCCCGCCGCCGCCGCUCCGGUUCCCCCCUGCAGCCGGUACCUGCGCCCGAUCGCGCCGCCUCCCCUCCGCCUCUGGCCCGAGCUCCUCAAUGGCAAUUGAACAAAACACAGCUGGCCCCGCCCCCUCCCACCGCCCGCCCGCUCCCAUUGGUUGCCGCGCCCGCCCGCGGACCUUUCACCCGCCCUGCCAUAGGGCGGCGAGGCGCGGCGGCCCCGCCCACCCAGGGGCCGCGCUGCGGAGCGAGGCGGAGAGUGCGCACGCGGACUACAGCCCCCAGGAGACGUUGCGGCGGCGCGGCUCCCUUCUCUCAUUGGCUGAGCCGCUGAGGAGGGGGGAAGCCCAUUACGUCAUCGCGGCCCCGGAUGGAGCCUCAAGGAGGGCGCGCGUGGCGCAGCGAAGCCUGGCCGGGCGUUCUGCGUAUGCGCAAUGUGGAGGGGCGGGGCGGGCACAGCCGGCCCCGUCAUGGCGGCGGGGCCGGGCCCUGGGCAGGGGGGGCGGCUCCUGAGGCGGCCCCGGGGGGGGCGCAGUCGGGGCUGGGCGGGCACGGAGGGAGCGGGCUGGGCACCGCGAGGCUCCCCCCGCUUUUAUUGCGGGUCCUCCCCGGCGGUGGUGCCGCGUAACGUGGGGCUACACCGCCCUCUGCCUGCCCCCCUCAGGCGGGCAGCCCGCUGGGGCGCCUCAGGGUCACUUCGCAGUUGCCCUCUGGAGCAAGUGGGCAAUGUGGAUUCCAUCUCUCAGUCCAUGACCUUCUCACUCAAGGGAGCAAAGACAAGAAGUGGACUGACUUCAGAGUCUGUCGUAGAGCAGGUACCAGGAGACACAGCAAAAGGUAUUGAGGUGUGCUAUGAUAUCCUGUGUGAUUGAAGGGGAUGUUUCAGCAUGGCUGAUGCUCAUCAAAGAUGCUUUUUACACUUCUCCAUUCUCUUUGUUUAGCAGUUUCACAGCUGAGCGUACAGGUUCUGGGCACAAGAGGAAGUUCUGCCACUAAUUAUAUAUAUCAGUUGGUGGUUUUAAUGCUAACCUUGCUCUGACUGUUCAAACAGGUCAGUUUUCUCUAUAAGGAACUUUUCCUUAUUUAUGUUCAAGGGCUCGUUACGAAUGAGAUAAAGCAGUAAGAAUGCUAAAUAAAUAAGCUGGAAUUGAGAAGCAAGGGAGUGUUCAGCAUCAAAAUCUGAAACAAGCAGAGAGCUGACAUCCUGGGAUAUUAGAAUCAGGGGUCUCAUAUACCACUACAAGUUGGCUAGACAUUGUGUUCUUUGUGAACUCUUAAAAGGAUUUGGAAAAUGUUGAGUUAAUCAUGACCAGAUCAAGUUUUAUUGGAUUUCAUGGAAGGGUGACUCCAUCCCGUGCCCCCUGUACACAGCUGACUUUUCCUACACCCAGCCUUUCACCUCCCUUACCUGCUAUUCCAGCUACACAGUUGCCUGCUUCUUCUUAAAUUGAGCCAUCUGGCCAGGAUAUACUCCAUUUUUCAGGGUCUGAAUUAGCCACAAAAUUUCAAAAAGGGCAAAUCGAGCUCCAAGUACAGAGCCAAUACAGCAUUGUUCUGCUUUUCACUGCAGUCCCCUAGGAACAGUCCCACUCAUGAGAACUCUAAAUUGCUAAGAGUUCAGCCAAAGCAUCUUCUGCCUACUCAAGUUUCUAGUCCCUCCUACAUAAAUUUCCAAGUGCCUUGUUCUUUUUGCAGAGCACCAAUAUAUGACACUUCCUUCCUAGACCUUCCCUGCACUUGCCUGCUUUACAAAAUGUCUUAUUCACUUCCUGACUGAGCCUUUUCUCAGCCCAGAACUUUUUCCCACCUUGUCUCUCUUUGAACAAAGCAAGAGAUGGUGAAGGUGCAUUAGUUACUCACAUCCUGCUGCAGCUAUAAGGACUGCUUGUUCUCAAAUUCCCAUUUUUUUCUGACAAGACAGGGCUUACAAAGGUCUUGCAUGCUUCUCUAGUGAUUUCCAACACAAGGCACAGGGAACACAGAUCACUAGCACAUAAAUGUGAUUAAUAAGCAUUGUUACUGAAAGCACAACUUAUCACAUGAUAUGUUUCGCCAUCCUUAAUACAGAAUACCUGUAUGAACCAUUUUAUCUAUUUUAUCAUUUUAAUGAGUUGAUUUUUUGUCAUUAUUUUUUGUCUGUUUGUGUUGUUUUGAAGGAGAUAGUAGUGAGCACUCUUCUAGUACUUACCUUGCUUCUGUUCUUACUUAUCCAGAGAAUAAGGCAACAAGUAACAAAGUCUUGGUCCUGUGUUAACACCCUGGAUAACUACUUAUUUAGCGUAAGAAUUGGGUAUACUUUAAUAGAUAGGAUUUUCUUUUAUUCUACUUCAAAAUCUGCUGAGGAGUGGUAGAGGAUGUACAGCGGGCAGUGGCAUUGUGUCAGGCCUUAAUACCUUUUACCUGUUUCCAGGAAACAAAGAUCUUCCAAACAUGAAACCUCACUGGAAAACAAAGUGGUUACAAAACAGUAACUGUACUUCAUCUCAUUUCUAAAUUUACUGUGGUUAUAUAAAGAAGGAACUAUUUUAAUCACUAAAUCAAACUAGGGAUUUGGGGAUAAAUUUUCACCUGCAUUUAGCUGAUCAGAGUGAUAUAUACGCAAGAUUUUAAACAUGAAUACUUCACAUAGAUUCGUGAAUGCUAAUCAUCAGGUAUAUUCUUGUAUUGAAGGGCUUUCUUUUAAUCUUAUAUUUCCAGAUAAUUUCCCUUGCAGAUGACAAUUCAAAUGCUAUGUUUCUACUCAUAGACCCAGACCUGCCUCCUCUGCUCAAACUAAAAUUGUAGCCUGUCUCUCAGAAAUCCCAUCCCAAAUACAUAACUGUCAGAUUGAGCUCAUUGUGACUCAAAUAGAACUUUUACUUUUCUCUGACUUUUUAACUUGACUGAUACAACCUUACCUCAUUCAUAUCCAUUCAAAAUGCUUCAGCAGUGGUUGUCUAGCCACAUCCUUUAGCCACACCAACCUUCUUCUAACUCUCCACUGUCUUCGGUUUUGUUAUAUCAAACACAUGUUCUCUGUCUUUCCAUUCAAAGCCUCACGUAGCCUGUUCCACCUCUAUAUAUCUUACUAAAGCAAAGGCAGCUUUUGCCCCAGACACAAUGAACUGCAGCAUAUGAUCACCUUGUGUGACCUCUACUCACCUCAGACCUUUACAUUUAGCAAAUAAACCCAUAUAUUAAACCCUAAGGUUUCAAUUAAACUGAAGCAUUUUAAUUUUCAGGAGACCAACCUGUGUUUCACAAGCAGAAAACAAGAGUGAUCACCUUUGCCUGAGGCUUUUACGAUGGCCUGAAUGAUUCAGGAGGUCAACCAGGCCGUUGGCUGUAGAGGAAGGGGAUAAAAAAAGACAAAUGAACCUUCAUGUUACUGCUCCCCUGGCUGGGAGGGAAAUCUCAUCCUGACCCCCAGUGAACCCUGUAUGAGGGACCAAGAUACAUCCAUCAGUCCUGUAGACAGAGGGGUUUCCCUGUUACUUCAAAGCACCUACUUAAUCUGUUCUGUGUUUCGAGUUGUGAGCCAUCUAGGAUGCCUCUGAAGAAGGGAGGAGAUAAUACUUGACCUAAUAAAUGUGUCUGUUUUAAUGAAACCUGGUGUCUUUUGGAUGUAUUUCAAGGCUGACUAAGAUACAAGUCCUGACAAUCUUUUUCUGUAGCUGGGGUAGGUGCAAAGCCUCACAGGCUUUUUAUUUUUUUUCUGUGUUCUCUGUGUCUAUUACUGUGGGAAUUGAUGAAGUAGCUUUGUCUUCCGUGGGAACACUUGUAGGGUAUCUUCUAUUCAGUUGGCCACUUCCAUAAAUUGUGUACAACCUUAAUCAUGAGGCCUCUAAGUCUUUACCAAAUUCAGAUGAAGUUUUCCAACUGGUUUUAAAUGUGUUACCGUGAGUACAAAUAUGCAUGGAUGGGCACAG